rnacentral:sRNA from 2 species
CGUAGAUGCCCCUCUGACAACGGCCCGAUGAACCCUGAACAAGUCCAUCCUGCCUGAUCAAGGGGCAUCUACUCGUUCACGCCACGCUCCACCACCGGUGGAUCCAG